rnacentral:lncRNA from 1 species
CUUGCUAUAAAUAUUCUCAACAUGACACUUCUCACUAUGCAACUUUUUGCUCUGGCACAACUUCAUCAUUUUCUUAUUAAUUAAUGAUAGUUGCAUUUAACAUGAGCCUGAAAAUAAUUUUUAAAUAUCUACCUCUAGUAUUACAUGCAACAUAUAUGCAAAACUCUUUAAUAUUCCUCUAAACAUAAAAUCAAAAUAGACCUCUAUACAAGAAAAUGUAUAAGAAGCCAGAUAGUAGCAAGGGGAAAGAAGCAAGAAGACCCUUGUGCAAUUCAGACCCAUGUGGUUCCUCUUCCAUAAUUGGCUCUAAUUUGAAAUAAUUUGAGGAUCUUCGAUAAUGAUGUAUUAGAAGGAUUGGUGCCACUUCACCCCAAUCGUUGAUGGAUUUUAUGUCUCUCACCAUUUUGAAAAUACAAUUCAAGCAAACCCUUUUUUCUUUAGAAUAUGGAAUGUUUUGAAGACACAAUAUGGUGAAUUCUUGAAAGAUUG